GACAGGGUGGCCGAGCGGUCUAAGGCGUUGCACUCAAGUUGCAAUGAGGUAAAACUCUCCGCGGUUCGAAUCCGCGUCCUGUCA
rnacentral:tRNA from 1 species